rnacentral:rRNA from 1 species
AUUGAACGCUGGCGGCAGGCCUAACACAUGCAAGUCGAACGAGUGGCGGACGGGUGAGUAAUGUCUGGGAAACUGCCUGAUGGAGGGGGAUAACUACUGGAAACGGUAGCUUAUACCGCAUACCCUCAGAUGUGCCCAGAUGGGAUGGGCUUGUUGGUGGGGUAAGGGCUCACCAAGGCGACGAUCCCUAGCUGGUCUGAGAGGAUGAACAGCCAAACUGUAACUGAGACACGGUCCAGACGCCGACGGGAGGAAGCAGUGGGGAAUAUUGAACAGUGGGCGCAAGCCUGAUGCAGCCAUGCCGCGUGUAUGAAGAAGGCCUUCGGGUUGUAAAGUACUUUCAGCGGGGAGGCGUUACCCGCAGAAGAAGCACCGGCUAACUCCGUGCCAGCCGCCGCGGUAAUAC